GUUGACAUGAAGCCGUCCUAGCUCAGUUGGUAGAGCGCAAGGCUCUUAACCUUGUGGUCCAGGGUUCGAGCCCCUGGGGUGGCGAUGAUUAAUUAGGUCCUAUUUUUCUUUUUCCACACACUUCUAUUACAUUUCUAACCUCUUUCUAAAUACAUUUCUAACCUCUUUCUAAAUACAAUUAUCAAACAUCAUGUUGUUUUUAACACUUACAAACAACUAAUCAUGUUUUACUUUAGAAAACACUUAUUAUCACUAACUCUAUCAUUUUAUCAUGCACUUG
rnacentral:lncRNA from 1 species